GGGAAGAAGGGAAUAAGGUUAGAAGUCAGGUUGUCAUUCUUGUCUUUGUUUGGAAGAAGAGACAAACAUAUACUUCUUCUUUACCAACCGAAUGUUUAGUGAACUCGUGGUUCUCGAAGCCGCGGGUUGAUAACUUCUUCUGAGUCCGACUACCUCGACAGGGUUUGUUCCCUACAACCCACUAACCCACUUGUUUGAAAAGCACCUUGUAGGUCUAGGAACGUCGCCACGGAGGCCAGUUGUAACGGUUACGGUACUAACACCAAUUAUGGGUGCCCUCUAAAAUAAGGAUGCACGACUAAUUUAUCUCGACUCAUUUGUAGUAGGUAUCCUGUACGUACACGACUAAUUGAAAUCUCAGCUUUCACCAAGAAAUAAGACAAGUUUGCGACUGGCCUAGUCCACGUGGAAAUCCGAGAUACGAUUCGCGGUUGUUGUUUAAGAAUAAAAGUCGCCCUAACAUAUGACCUGGCUCCAAGAUGUCCUCCACCCAAGCGAACCUGAUAAUACACUUCGUCACAUUUGUGUCAACAGUUGUGUGAGUCCUUAAGCUAUCACCUUUCACCAGAUUGAAAGUCUUAAACCUCGAGACUGCACCUUCUAAAAAACUCCCGUUAGAUCUUAUUAAUGGAACCGUCUAAUACACGUACCUUUUCCAUUACCGGACAUACUCUGAUCUAACUCAACAAACAAGUCACUCCUUUCCUUUUUGUUUACUCGGUGACGUUACAAGAGAUAUCGGUUCCUUGUUCUCCAGUUUCUAUCUCGAGACUACAUAACUAUCUCUACUAUAUUUUUAAUAGAGAACUUCACUCGGUGUUUGUAACUUUCAUCGUAAUAGUUCUCAUACGUAGUUGGUAGUACGUACUUAAGUAUGCUAGUAACUUGUUUGUUGAGUUAAAUUCUCUUAUAACAAGGAACCGAUAUCUCUUGUUUGUUGAGUUAAGUAUGUUAGAUAUGACAGCUCAGAGACUUCACGGCACAAGACGAUGUUAUAAUAGAAUUUAUACACGUUACUUAGAUAAAAGGGCAACGUUGCGCGCCCGUAAAAAACGAUCAUACAAAAUAAAUAAAUAAUCUGAGGGGAUUAGAUACAAAGAGCCGGUAAGUUAACACUAGCAUCCUUGUUCUAUC
rnacentral:rRNA from 1 species